rnacentral:rRNA from 1 species
GACAGAGGGUGCAAACGUUGUUCGGAAUUACUGGGCGUAAAGCGCGUGUAGGCUGCUUGGAAAGUCGGAUGUGAAAGCCCUGGGCUCAACCUAGGAAGUGCAUUCGAAACUUCUGAGCUUGGGUAUCGGAGAGGAAGGCGGAAUUCUCGGUGUAGAGGUGAAAUUCGUAGAUAUCGAGAGGAACACCGGUGGCGAAGGCGGCCUUCUGGACGAUUACUGACGCUGAGACGCGAAAGCGUGGGGAGCAAACAGG